UAGGGAAUCUUCGGCAAUGGACGGAAGUCUGACCGAGCAACGCCGCGUGAGUGAAGAAGGUUUUCGGAUCGUAAAGCUCUGUUGUAAGAGAAGAACGAGUGUGAGAGUGGAAAGUUCACACUGUGACGGUAUCUUACCAGAAAGGGACGGCUAACUACGUGCCAGCAGCCGCGGUAAUACGUAGGUCCCGAGCGUUAUCCGGAUUUAUUGGGCGUAAAGCGAGCGCAGGCGGUUAGAUAAGUCUGAAGUUAAAGGCUGUGGCUUAACCAUAGUACGCUUUGGAAACUGUUUAACUUGAGUGCAAGAGGGGAGAGUGGAAUUCCAUGUGCAGCGGUGAAAUGCGUAGAUAUAUGGAGGAACACCGGUGGCGAAAGCGGCUCUCUGGCUUGUAACUGACGCUGAGGCUCGAAAGCGUGGGGAGCAAACAGGANUAGAUACCCUGGUAGUCCACGCCGUNNCGAUGAGUGCUAGGUGUUAGACCCUUUCCGGGGUUUAGUGCCGCAGCUNACGCANUAAGCACUCCGCCUGGGGAGUACGACCGCAAGGNU
rnacentral:rRNA from 1 species